rnacentral:tmRNA from 1 species
AAGCUUUCGUUUACGCCUGUGAGCGCUUAUAUUAUGUGGGCCGGAUUCGUCCGGCUAUGGCGAUAAAUGGCCGUCGGAAUAAGCCCAUCGGACCCGGGGGCGGUACCCGGCGCCUCCACCACAGGUGCCAGCGUUCAGGUGCCAGGUGUCGCAAAAGAGGAACAGCAGACACCUGACCGGCGGCACCCCUGACACUUGCGGUGGGGGCGAAAUAGGAUCGACGAGGGUGUAAAGGACGCGCUUUCGCCCGGCAUGGUUCCGCCGUUAUCGGGCCAUCCAGAAUAGUUGCCAACGACAACUAUGCUGAGGCUGCUCUCGCUGCGUAACGCAGCGCGAAAUGCCUGAACCAAAGUCCUGCUCCUUAGCCGGGGCAGGCGCGGUCUCGGAGGGCACCGGGCAACAGAAGCCCUCCACU